UACUUUUUGAUAUCUUCAUUGAGAAAC
rnacentral:piRNA from 1 species